GGAGCUGGCCGGGCAGUCGCUCGCGUCUCGUACGCGGGAGGAAAGUCCGGACUCCUCAGGGCAGGGUGGCCGCUAACGGCGGCCCGUCGCGAGGCGGGGAAAGUGCAACAGAAAGUAAACCGCCCCGGCCAAGGCCGGGGUAAGGGUGAAACGGUGAGGUAAGAGCUCACCAGGCCCGUCGGUAACGGCGGGUGCUUUGUAAACCCCACCCGGAGCAAGACCAAAUAGGGGGGCGGACCGCCCGUCCUUUGCCCCCGGGUUAGGUCGCACGAGCCGCCGGGUAACCGGCGGCCCAGAUGAAUGACUGCCCAGGACACCGCCUUAACGGGUCGGUGUUCGGACAGAAUCCGGCUUACAGGCCAGCUCCGUUU
rnacentral:RNase_P_RNA from 1 species